CAUGCAAGUCGGACGCCGCAGUCGCCUUCGGGCGGCAUGUGGAGUGGCGGACGGGUGAGUAACGCGUAGGAACCUGCCCGGAAGUGGGGGACAACCGCUGGAAACGGCGGCUAAUACCGCAUACGCCCCAAGGGGGAAAGGCUUCGGCCGCUUUCGGAGGGUCCUGCGUUCGAUUAGCUAGUCGGUGAGGUGACGGCUCACCGAGGCGACGAUCGAUAGCUGGUCUGAGAGGAUGAUCAGCCACACUGGGACUGAGACACGGCCCAGACUCCUACGGGAGGCAGCAGUGGGGAAUAUUGGACAAUGGGCGAAAGCCUGAUCCAGCAAUGCCGCGUGUGUGACGAAGGCCUUAGGGUUGUAAAGCACUUUCGCCCGCGAGGAUGAUGACGGUAGCGGGAGAAGAAGCCCCGGCUAACUCCGUGCCAGCAGCCGCGGUAAUACGGAGGGGGCGAGCGUUGUUCGGAAUUACUGGGCGUAAAGGGCGUGUAGGCGGCCUUGUCAGUCAGGCGUGAAAUCCCCGGGCUCAACCUGGGACGUGCGCUUGAUACUGCAGGGCUUGAGAGCGAGAGAGGUAAGCGGAAUUCCCAGUGUAGAGGUGAAAUUCGUAGAUAUUGGGAAGAACACCAGUGGCGAAGGCGGCUUACUGGCUCGUUCUGACG
rnacentral:rRNA from 1 species